GUGGGGAAUAUUGGGCAAUGGGGGCAACCCUGACCCAGCGACGCCGCGUGAGGGAAGAAGGCCUUAGGGUCGUAAACCUCUGUUGUGUGGGAAGAAGGAAGUGACGGUACCACACGAGGAAGUCCCGGCUAACUACGUGCCAGCAGCCGCGGUAAUACGUAGGGGACGAGCGUUGUCCGGAAUUACUGGGCGUAAAUGGCGCGUAGGCGGUCAUUUAAGUCAGCUGUGAAAUGGUCCGGCUCAACCGGAUCAUGCGGUUGAAACUGGAUGACUGGAGUGCUGGAGAGGCAAGUGGAAUUCCCAGUGUAGCGGUGAAAUGCGUAGAUAUUGGGAAGAGCACCGGUGGCGAAGGCGACUUGCUGGCCAGCAACUGACGCUGAGGCGCGAAAGCCAGGGGAGCAAACGGGAUUAGAUACCCGGGUAGUCC
rnacentral:rRNA from 1 species